rnacentral:rRNA from 1 species
AUGAACGCUGGCGGCGUGCCUAAUACAUGCAAGUCGAGCGAACGGACGAGAAGCUUGCUUUUCUGAUGUUAGCGGCGGACGGGUGAGUAACACGUGGAUAACCUACCUAUAAGACUGGGAUAACUUCGGGAAACCGGAGCUAAUACCGGAUAAUAUUUUGAACCGCAUGGUUCCAAAGUGAAAGACGGUCUUGCUGUCACUUAUAGAUGGAUCCGCGCUGCAUUAGCUAGUUGGUAAGGUAACGGCUUACCAAGGCAACGAUGCAUAGCCGACCUGAGAGGAUGAUCGGCCACACUGGAACUGAGACACGGUCCAGACUCCUACGGGAGGCAGCAGUAGGGAAUCUUCCGCAAUGGGCGAAAGCCUGACGGAGCAACGCCGCGUGAGUGAUGAAGGUCUUCGGAUCGUAAAACUCUGUUAUUAGGGAAGAACAUAUGUGUAAGUAACUGUGCACAUCUUGACGGUACCUAAUCAGAAAGCCACGGCUAACUACGUG